rnacentral:rRNA from 1 species
UACGUAGGGUGCAAGCGUUAAUCGGAAUUACUGGGCGUAACGCGUGCGCAGGCGGUUUUGUAAGCCAGAUGUGAAAGCCCCGGGCUUAACCUGGGAAUGGCAUUUGGGACUGCAAGGCUUGAGUGCGGCAGAGGAGACUGGAAUUCCUGGUGUAGCAGUGAAGUGCGUAGAUAUCAGGAGGAAUACCGAUGGCGAAGGCAGGUCUCUGGGCUGACACUGACGCUCAUGCACGAAAGCGUGGGGAGCAAACAGG